rnacentral:rRNA from 1 species
GACGAAGGUGGCGAGCGUUGUUCGGAAUCACUGGGCAUAAAGCGCACGUAGGCGGCGACGUAAGUUGGGUGUGAAAUCCCUCGGCCCAACCGAGGAACUGCGCCCAGUACUGCGUUGCUUGAGGAUCCAAGGGGUGCAUGGAAUUCCCGGUGGAGCGGUGAAAUGCGUUGAUAUCGGGAGGAACUCCGGCGGCGAAAGCGGUGCACUGGUGGAUUUUCGUGACGCUGAGGUGCGAAAGCCAGGGGAGCAAACGGG